rnacentral:rRNA from 1 species
UACGUAGGGAGCAAGCGUUGUCCGGAAUCAUUGGGCGUAAAGCGCGCGUAGGUGGUCCCAUAAGUCCGCUGUGAAAGUCUAAGGCUCAACCUUUGAAAGCCGGUGGAUACUGUGGGACUAGAGUACGGAAGAGGCGAGUGGAAUUCCUGGUGUAGCGGUGGAAUGCGCAGAUAUCAGGAGGAACACCAAUAGCGAAGGCAGCUCGCUGGGACGUUACUGACGCUGAGGCGCGAAAGCGUGGGGAGCGAACAGG